GGACCCGACUGCUAUCAAAGUGGGACUAACCCAUGCGAGUCAACAUAGCAAUAUGUGGCAUACGGCUCAGUAACACGUAGUCAACAUGCCCAGGGGACGUGGAUAACCUCGGGAAACUGAGGAUAAACCGCGAUAGGUCAUCACUUCUGGAAUGGGUAAUGACUUAAACCUAUAUGGCCCCUGGAUUGGACUGCGGCCGAUCAGGCUGUUGGUGAGGUAAUGGCCCACCAAACCUGUAACCGGUACGGGCUCUGAGAGGAGGAGCCCGGAAAUGGGCACUGAAACAAGGGCCCAGGCCCUAUGGGGCGCAGCAGGCGCGAAACCUCUGCAAUAGGCGAAAGCUUGACAGGGUUACUCUGAGUGAUUUCCGUUAAGGAGAUCUUUUGGCACCUCUAAAAAUGGUGCAAAAUAAGGGGUGGGCAAGUCUGGUGU
rnacentral:rRNA from 1 species